rnacentral:rRNA from 1 species
AGAGUUUGAUCCUGGCUCAGGAUGAACGCUAGCGAUAGGCUUAACACAUGCAAGUCGAGGGGCAUCAGGGCUUGUAGUAAUAUAACUGCUGGCGACCGGCGCACGGGUGAGUAACACGUAUGCAACCUACCCACUACAGGGGGAUAGCCCGGAGAAAUCCGGAUUAAUACCGCAUAUAACGGAAUUUCCGCAUGGGAGCUUCGUUAAAGAUUUAUCGGUGAAGGAUGGGCCCGCGGCCUAUCAGCUUGUUGGUGAGGUAGUGGCUCACCAAGGCGACGACGGGUAACCGGCCUGAGAGGGCGACCGGUCACAUUGGGACUGAGACACGGCCCAGACUCCUACGGGAGGCAGCAGUGGGGGAAUAUUGCGCAAUGGGCGAAAGCCUGACGCAGCGACGCCGCGUGGCGGGAUGAACGGCCUUCGGGGUUGAAACCGCCUUUCGGCAGGGACGAACCAAAGGUG